UAAGGAUCGAGUGGUUGCUGAAUGCAAGGCUAUAGUGGUCAGUUAGAGGUGUCAGAUGAGUCUGUGGCUCUGACAUCCAAUGUCAAGGUGAGUAGCAGGUUUUGGUGCUGGUGCCAGAAACUGGAUCAGACCAGCACUAAGCAGAGUUAGGGUGCAUAAGGAGGAUAACUGACACCAUCUUAAAAUGCUUAUAGAGAUCAGCAUGUAUUGAUUCUCAGUUCUGCUUCGCCAUCGGAAUGUACCGUAUGCAAUGACGUGGAGACAAUACAGGUUGGGAACAGGAACAGGAGAGAGGUGAAAACCUUUUCCAAUUGCAUCCAGGGGUGUCAUGCACUCCAAAAAUCUGAGGCAGCACAAAGUACGUGAGGAUGGCUGAGGGGUCGUCUGGAGGGGAGGUGAUCGUGGACUUCUCCGAGAUCCAGGGCCAGAAGUAUAGUCAAGAAGAUGUGAUGAGCAGAGCAACCAAUCAGCGUCACUGCAGCUGUUCAACCCUCCACCCCCACCACUCUCCCUCCACAAGCAACCACAUCCUCUUCUCCUGUUCAACUAAUUUGCCGCUGCACAGAAAAGGACUGUACAUACCCCUGUGCCCAUCAGUGCAAAAUGAUCCAGCCAAAGCCUCAGCUGGACGCCGAAAAUGUGAAAAAUGUCAGUGUGUGUGUGUGUGUGUCUGUGUGUGUGUGUGUGUGUGUGUGUGUGUGUGUGUGUGUGUGUGUGUGUGUGUGUGUGUGUGUGUGUGUGUGUGUGUGUUCCAAGAAAAGACAUGAGUGUGAUGUGCCCCUCUGUGUCAAUGUUGAAAUGCGAUAAAUGAAGGAUGGCAAAGGAGAUAGUGAUGUGAUAGUGUGUUUGUAUGACUCCUUGGGAUCUAAAAUGAGUGUGGGGUGCCCUCUUGUGUCUCCUUUUUGUUCCUUUGAAGGCAUUACACUCAUCCCUGGUGGAGGUUCUUGGAACACUGUUAUUUAAGUCUGAGCAGAGGUUGAUGAAAACCUUCAAAGUUGGUGGUGCUAUAUUGCGUGUUAUCUUGAACACCAGGCAGAUGUUUGAGUACAGAAUGAAAAUGGUGUAAACUGAACAGGUUGAACUUGUUGAGUACACUCUUAGAAAAAGGGGUUCCAACUGGCUGUCACCAAAGGAGAACCCUUUUUGGUUAUUAGGUAUAACUCUUUUUAGUUACAGUAAGAACUCUUUGGGGUUCCAUGUAGAACCCUCUGUGGAAUGGAACCCAAAAUGAUUCUACCUAGGCACCGAAUGGGUUCUACCUGGAUCCAAAAAGAGUUCUUCAAAGGGUUCUAUAGGGACAGCGGAAGAAACCUUUUAGGUUCUAGAUAGGUCUAUAUUGCAGUGGUGGUUCCGUUGUUUUCUUAAAGAAUAUAUAUAUAUUAAUUGGUGGUGGUGAGUUAAGAUAAUCAGAAAUACUGUGAAACAUCCCCACUUUUAGCACACAUUUGCAAGCAGGCAAAGUCGCCUACUUCUAUGCGUGCUGAGGUAUGUGUGAUCACUCAACAUUGACAGGACUGACAAAAAUGCUCACAUGCAAACAAAAGACAAAGAAAUGACCAAACAAUGAAGUAAUUGGCAAAAGAAAUGUAAAUGUUAUGAAAUAAAGCAAAA
ensembl:lncRNA